rnacentral:lncRNA from 1 species
UCAUCAAGGUUUCUCACCCGUUUUUUAUCGCUCUCGUCUCCUUUAACAUCCAAUUCCGUAAUAUUUUGUUGGUGAACAUUCAAUUCAUAGAAGCGUCCAUCUUUCCACCCGGAAUCUCAGAACAAAGUUCAACAUAAUUGUUUGUAAACCAUUUGUUUGUUUUAAUAUAUUCCUAAUUUGAAGAGUUUUGUUUUCUAUAUAUGCUCGUCGUAUGUCUGAUUAAUUUAUGUCUCUUUAAUUUUGUUAACCGUCCUCAUUUUUAAGUAUACGUAUUUGUUUCUGCCGUGUUUAUUUUCAGGGCUUGUCGCUAUUUGAAUGUCUUUGUGAUCGGAUCUCUUUUUGAAUGGUUAGCAGUGUGUGGAAAGAGAUGGAGUGAAUUGCGUCUUAUUAUUUGGCUGACGAACGAACACGAACCCCUUGUAACUUUCUUUUUCUCUCUUUCCUUUCUGAUUUAGGUACUUUCUCCCAGU